GCCCUCGUAGUAUAAACUAAUACACUGGCCUUGUAAACCAGAAAUGAACACUCUUCCUAGGGCAAUCAAAAAGA
rnacentral:tRNA from 1 species